GAAAUCACCGGCCUAGCCGGUAUAAAAUUCUAUCCACCUUGUGUGCAAAUAAUGGAAAAAAGAGAGAAAAUUGGAUACUUUUUGUAUCCAACUUCUCUAAAAUUAUUUAUAAACUCCAUCAAAUUUUGAAUAAAACAAUUUUUUUUAAUAAAAAAUAUUAUA
rnacentral:misc_RNA from 1 species